AACUGCGAAUGGCUCAUUAUAUAAGUUAUCGUUUAUUUGAUAGCACCUUACUACUUGGAUAACCGUGGUAAUUCUAGAGCUAAUACAUGCUAAAAAUCCCAACUUCGGAAGGGAUGUAUUUAUUAGAUUAAAGACCAAUGCCCUUCGGGGCUCCUUGGUGAUUCAUGAUAACUUCUCGAAUCGCAUGNCCUUGCGCCGGCGAUGGUUCAUUCAAAUUUCUUCCCUAUCAACUUUCGAUGCGAAGGUCUUGUCUUCGCAUGGUUACAACGGGUAACGGAGGGUUAGGGCUCGACCCCGGAGAAGGAGCCUGAGAAACGGCUACUACAUCUAAGGAAGGCAGCAGGCGCGCAAAUUACCCAAUCCCGACACGGGGAGGUAGUGACAAUAAAUACUGAUACAGGGCUCUUUUGGGUCUUGUAAUCGGAAUGAGUACAAUUUAAAUCCCUUAACGAGGAACCAUUGGAGGGCAAGUCUGGUGCCAGCAGCCGCGGUAAUUCCAGCUCCAAUAGCGUAUAUUAAAGUUGUUGUGGUUAAAAAGCUCGUAGUCGAACCUUGGGCCUGGCUGGCCGGUCCCCCUCACCGGGUGCACUGGUCCGGCCGGGUCUUUCCCUCUGUGGAACUGCAUGCUCUUUACUGGGCGUGUAGGGAAACAGGACUUUUACUUUGAAAAAAUUAGAGUGCUCCAGGCAGGCCUAUGCUCGAAUACUUCAGCAUGGAAUAAUAGAAUAGGACGUGUGGUUCUAUUUUGUUGGUUUCUAGGACCGCCGUAAUGAUUAAUAGGGACAGUCGGGGGCAUCAGUAUUCAAUUGUCAGAGGUGAAAUUCUUGGAUCUAUUGAAGACUAACUACUGCGAAAGCAUUUGCCAAGGAUGUUUUCAUUGAUAAGGAACGAAAGUUAGGGGAUCGAAGACGAUCAGAUACCGUCGUAGUCUUAACUAUAAACUAUGCCGACUAGGGAUCGGACGAUGUUGUCAUAUGACUCGUUCGGCACCUUUCGAGAAAUC
rnacentral:rRNA from 1 species